rnacentral:tRNA from 1 species
GCCCGGGUGGCGGAAUGGCUUACGCGCAGCACUUAAAAUGCUGUGGGAGAAAUCUCGUGUGGGUUCGAGUCCC